AAUGACACGAAUUCCACAGCUUUUUUGCUUAUUGGUAGUUGCUCCCGAAAUUCGCUCAUCAUUUGCGUAAAGUUAAACUUUUUUUAACUUUCUCGCGUUGCUGGACACUUUCGCUCUGAGUGCCGGAAGUUGCCAAGCUUUUAUUGAAAUGAACAAGAUUGUUUCGCGCUGCUACUCCUGGUCGCUGGAUGUCUGAAUGGGACAUUAGAGCUUGUUUCUUGCUAAAUGUAACAAAUUGUCACAUUGUGUGCUCAUGAUGCUGUUAUGUCUGGUUUUCUGUCAGGGUUGGACAUGGAAGAGAGAGAUGGGAUAAAGACUAACAGGCAAGUUUAGUGAAUUGUAUAAACACAAGGUAGCUGAUACCAUGGGAAGCAGAUCUCUGAUGGAGAGCGCAGAUGAAUACAGGAUCGAGUAGAUAGGAAUCCAGAUGGAGUGGAAGAGAAAUUGAAAAUGCAGUCCUAAUGAUCCUAGGGCGAAAGCAAAUAAAUACAAACCACCUGACUUCAGUGGCCCAGUCUCUUCAGGGAAACAGCCACUUGUUACCACAAAUGCGGAUGGAGAGAGGAAGAAAAUGGUGACUUUCCUCCAACCUUUACUGAAAAUCUAGACAGGCUGGAGACAAAGGUGAACAAAUAAUCCAUCAGUAGUGGACCAAACAUGAAGAAAACAACAUGGAAAAUCUGUCCAGAUGUUUGAAGAAGCAAAAUGCACCUUCAGCUAUACAGAACCUCGUCCUUCAGUCUUCUGCAGCAGACGCGGAAAAAUCAGUUCAAGAUUUCUUACUUGGCCUCAGGAAGUGGUUGAUUUAAAAAUGUUGUGGCUUUGUUGUUUAUUGUGG